rnacentral:rRNA from 1 species
AUUGAACGCUGGCGGCAGGCCUAACACAUGCAAGUCGAACGGUAACAGGAAGAAGCUUGCUUCUUUGCUGACGAGUGGCGGACGGGUGAGUAAUGUCUGGGAAACUGCCUGAUGGAGGGGGAUAGCUACUGGAAACGGUAGCUAAUACCGCAUAACGUCGCAAGACCAAAAAGGGGGACCUUCGGGCCUCUUGCCAUCGGAUGUGCCCAGAUGGGAUUAGCUAGUAGGUGGGGUAACGGCUCACCUAGGCGACGAUCCCUAGCUGGUCUGAGAGGAUGACCAGCCACACUGGAACUGAGACACGGUCCAGACUCCUACGGGAGGCAGCAGUGGGGAAUAUUGCACAAUGGGCGCAAGCCUGAUGCAGCCAUGCCGCGUGUAUGAAGAAGGCCUUCGGGUUGUAAAGUACUUUCAGCGGGGAGGAAGGGAGUAAAGUUAAUACCUUUGCUCAUUGACGUUACCCGCAGAAGAAGCACCGGCUAACUCCGUG